UUCGCAAUGCCCGAAAGGGUGAACGAGCGACGCCGCGUGCGGGAUGAAGGGUUUCGGCUUGUAAACCGCUUUUCUUUGGGAAGAAGGUCUGUCUCGUGCAGAUGGGCUCGACGGUACCAGAGGAAUAAGCCUCGGCUAACUCCGUGCCAGCAGCCGCGGUAAGACGGAGGAGGCAAGCGUUGUUCGGAAUCACUGGGCAUAAAGAGCACGUAGGCGGUUGAGCAAGUCCAUUGUGAAAUCCCCCGGCUUAACCGGGGAACUGCAGUGGAUACUACUUGACUUGAGUGCAGGAGGGGAGAGUGGAAUUCCAGGUGGAGCGGUGAAAUGCGUAGAUAUCUGGAGGAACGCCGGUGGCGAAAGCGACUCUCUGGUCUGCAACUGACGCUGAGGUGCGAAAGCUAGGGGAGCAAACGGGAUUAGAUACCCCGGUAGUCCUAGCCCUAAACGAUGGGCACUAAGUAGAGGGGUUUU
rnacentral:rRNA from 1 species